CCCGCAGGCUGAUAAUCACUUACCACACUCGCGAUUAUAUUGAGAAGACAAUGAGAAGUGCCUACUUCAACACGAGUGCAAUGACCUCCUGAAGCCCCAAGGUGCAUUGCCUCACCCCAGCUCAGAAUAUUCCUUUUCUGUCUCUGAGCCUCUUGUGCAUGUGGGGUCUCUGACUCUCUCAUGUACGUGGGAUCCCCAUACAUAUGUACGUAUUAAAUUUGGGUUAUUUUCUCUGGC